GCAGGUUCCUGUGGGCACACUUCCUCCAUAGCACACUUCUGAAGUAAACGGGCCUUAGGGGAACUUGGCCCUGACUAUGACUUAAGGUGUCUGGACGUCUGGACCACCUGAAUCAAGGCCUGAGGUGACCUGGACCUUUGAAGAUUUGUUUUCUUUUUUAGAAGCAUCUAGGAAUAGUGUUCAAAGUUUCUAGAACCCUUUCUAGGAAGUACUUGGGAUAUAUAUUUUUCUAUUUACAUUUUUUUGUUUUAUGAAGCUAUUACUCUUUUUAAAGGUCUUUGAUUGAUAAAUAAAAUUUAUCCCUUUCUGUACCA